rnacentral:rRNA from 3 species
GGGUUGUGAGGUUAAGCGACUAAGCGUACACGGUGGAUGCCCUGGCAGUCAGAGGCGAUGAAGGGCGUGCUAAUCUGCGAUAAGCGCCGGUAAGGUGAUAUGAACCGUUAUAACCGGCGAUACCCGAAUGGGGAAACCCAGUGUGACUCGUCACACUAUCAUUAACUGAAUCCAUAGGUUAAUGAGGCGAACCGGGGGAACUGAAACAUCUAAGUACCCCGAGGAAAAGAAAUCAACCGAGAUUCCCCCAGUAGCGGCGAGCGAACGGGGAGGAGCCCAGAGCCUGAAUCAGCAUGUGUGUUAGUGGAAGCGUCUGGAAAGGCGCGCGAUACAGGGUGACAGCCCCGUACACAAAAGCGCAUGUGCUGUGAGCUCGAUGAGUAGGGCGGGACACGUGGUAUCCUGUCUGAAUAUGGGGGGACCAUCCUCCAAGGCUAAAUACUCCUGACUGACCGAUAGUGAACCAGUACCGUGAGGGAAAGGCGAAAAGAACCCCGGCGAGGGGAGUGAAAAAGAACCUGAAACCGUGUACGUACAAGCAGUGGGAGCACAGGUUUACC